GACGAACGCUGGCGGCGUGCCUAACACAUGCAAGUCGAGCGAUGAAGCCCUUCGGGGUGGAUUAGCGGCGGACGGGUGAGUAACACGUGGGUAACCUGCCUCAAAGAGGGGGAUAGCCUCCCGAAAGGGAGAUUAAUACCGCAUAACAUUAGUUUUUCGCAUGGAGAACUAAUUAAAGGAGUAAUCCGCUUUGAGAUGGACCCGCGGCGCAUUAGCUAGUUGGUGAGGUAAAGGCUCACCAAGGCGACGAUGCGUAGCCGACCUGAGAGAGUGAUCGGCCACAUUGGAACUGAGACACGGUCCAGACUCCUACGGGAGGCAGCAGUGGGGAAUAUUGCACAAUGGGCGAAAGCCUGAUGCAGCAACGCCGCGUGAGUGAUGAAGGCCUUCGGGUUGUAAAGCUCUGUCUUUUGGGACGAUAAUGACGGUACCAAAGGAGGAAGCCACGGCUAACUACGUGCCAGCCGCCGCUGUAAAAC
rnacentral:rRNA from 1 species